rnacentral:rRNA from 1 species
UACGUAGGGGGCAAGCGUUGUCCGGAAUCAUUGGGCGUAAAGCGCGUGUAGGCGGCCAGAAAAGUCCGCUGUGAAAACUCGAGGCUCAACUUCGAGCUGUCGGUGGAAACUUUCUGGCUAGAGUCCGGAAGAGGAGAAUGGAAUUCCUGGUGUAGCGGUGAAAUGCGCAGAUAUCAGGAAGAACACCCGUGGCGAAGGCGGUUCUCUGGGACGGUACUGACGCUGAGGAGCGAAAGUGUGGGGAGCGAACAGG